AUUGAACGCUGGCGGCAGGCCUAACACAUGCAAGUCGAACGAGCGGCGGACGGGUGAGUAAUGUAUGGGAAACUGCCUGAUGGAGGGGGAUAACUACUGGAAACGGUGGCUAAUACCGCAUACUAUCGGAUGAACCCAUAGGGGAUUAGCUAGUAGGUGGGGUAAAGGCUCACCUAGGCGACGAUCCCUAGCUGGUCUGAGAGGAUGAUCAUCCACAUUGGGACUGAGACACGGCCCAGACGCCUACGGGAGGCAGCAGUGGGGAAUAUUGCACAAUGGGCGCAAGCCUGAUGCAGCCAUGCCGCGUGUAUGAAGAAGGCCUUCGGGUUGUAAAGUACUUUCAGUGGGGAGGCGUUACCCGCAGAAGAAGCACCGGCUAACUCCGUGCCAGCAGCCGCGGUAAUUC
rnacentral:rRNA from 1 species